AGCGGACAGAAGGGAGCUUGCUCCCGGAUGUUAGCGGCGGACGGGUGAGUAACACGUGGGUAACCUGCCUGUAAGACUGGGAUAACUCCGGGAAACCGGAGCUAAUACCGGAUAGUUCCUUGAACCGCAUGGUUCAAGGAUGAAAGACGGUUUCGGCUGUCACUUACAGAUGGACCCGCGGCGCAUUAGCUAGUUGGUGAGGUAACGGCUCACCAAGGCAACGAUGCGUAGCCGACCUGAGAGGGUGAUCGGCCACACUGGGACUGAGACACGGCCCAGACUCCUACGGGAGGCAGCAGUAGGGAAUCUUCCGCAAUGGACGAAAGUCUGACGGAGCAACGCCGCGUGAGUGAUGAAGGUUUUCGGAUCGUAAAGCUCUGUUGUUAGGGAAGAACAAGUGCAAGAGUAACUGCUUGCACCUUGACGGUACCUAACCAGAAAGCCACGGCUAACUACGUGCCAGCAGCCGCGGUAAUACGUAGGUGGCAAGCGUUGUCCGGAAUUAUUGGGCGUAAAGGGCUCGCAGGCGGUUUCUUAAGUCUGAUGUGAAAGCCCCCGGCUCAACCGGGGAGGGUCAUUGGAAACUGGGAAACUUGAGUGCAGAAGAGGAGAGUGGAAUUCCACGUGUAGCGGUGAAAUGCGUAGAGAUGUGGAGGAACACCAGUGGCGAAGGCGACUCUCUGGUCUGUAACUGACGCUGAGGAGCGAAAGCGUGGGGAGCGAACAGGAUUAGAUACCCUGGUAGUCCACGCCGUAACGAUGAGUGCUAAGUGUUAGGGGGUUUCCGCCCCUUAGUGCUGCAGCUAACGCAUUAAGCACUCCGCCUGGGGAGUACGGUCGCAAGACUGAAACUCAAAGGAAUUGACGGGGGCCCGCACAAGCGGUGGAGCAUGUGGU
rnacentral:rRNA from 1 species